AGAGAGUGGCUUUUGAUCAUGUGUCCUAACAAGCAGUUCCAGCUCCUGUCUCUUCGGCUGAACGGCUCCACAUUACCUAUUCAAACAGAAGUGACAGGCCACUGCACUACUCUUUGGCUCUAGUCUCACACAGUGGGAGCUAUGCUGGAGACAGAGCCACUGAUUAAAUAUAUCACUUUUUCAAGACAAGCAGGUUGUCUGAAUCAAAGUUGGACAGAAUAGACUCAACAUUAUUAAAAGAGGAUAUAAAACUGGAGUUGAGUGAUGUUAGGCCAGUUUGUACAGCCUCAGGGAUUCACAGACUGACAAGGGGAAUAAGGAACAGCAGAACUCAUAAAGCAAGAAUAUCUCAGAGCACAGUGAAAAAGUCUGAACUGCCCCAGUCUGAGCUGUACCAGUUCUGUGAACAAAGAAAACUAGAAAGAAUGUUUUCUGACAGCUAUCAGCAGAAGAGAGACUCUGAAGAAUACUGAGGAAUUACUGCUGGUUCUAACCCAUAUGAGACCUAAUGGCAUGCACUUAUGUGCUCAGCUAGUACUAGAAUGCGUACAAGAACCAGGAGAAAAACCAUAAGAUGGACAGACACGCAAGGUAAACAGAAGGUGGAUGGCUGACACGAUACACCAGACAUUCAUAAAAAAGGAGGCUUUGAAUUUUUACCAGCGAAUGAAGGCUCAUGGGAUAGAGUUAAAAAACAUAAAGCAUGUUGCAGAUUAUGAUCUUCUAUGUUUAUAAACUCACUAUUGUGAGUGUGUGUGUAAACAAACAAGUAUAUUAAAUACAAAUGCUUCAUUUGUAUUUAUGUAGACAUAUGUAUAAGUCUAUGUUACACAUGCACAUGCACAGUGACAGAGUGAUC